GGAGCGCGGGGGGGGUGCUAUAAUGCAAGUCGAGCGAAUGGAUUAAGAGCUUGCUCUUAUGAAGUUAGCGGCGGACGGGUGAGUAACACGUGGGUAACCUGCCCAUAAGACUGGGAUAACUCCGGGAAACCGGGGCUAAUACCGGAUAACAUUUUGAACCGCAUGGUUCGAAAUUGAAAGGCGGCUUCGGCUGUCACUUAUGGAUGGACCCGCGUCGCAUUAGCUAGUUGGUGAGGUAACGGCUCACCAAGGCAACGAUGCGUAGCCGACCUGAGAGGGUGAUCGGCCACACUGGGACUGAGACACGGCCCAGACUCCUACGGGAGGCAGCAGUAGGGAAUCUUCCGCAAUGGAU
rnacentral:rRNA from 1 species